rfam:Thermoplasmatales archaeon E-plasma genomic scaffold AMDT2_EPLS00002, whole genome shotgun sequence.
GCGGAGGUUGCCGAGCCAGGUUAAAGGCGACAGACUCAAGAUCUGUUUCCGUUGGGAUGCGCCGGUUCGAAUCCGGCCCUCCGCA